rnacentral:rRNA from 1 species
UACGGAGGGGACUAGCGCUGUUCGGAAUUACUGGGCGUAAAGCGCACGUAGGCGGUUUUGUAAGUCAGGGGUGAAAUCCCGGGGCUCAACCUCGGAACUGCCUUUGAUACUGCAAAUCUCGAGUCCGGAAGAGGUGAGUGGAAUUCCUAGUGUAGAGGUGAAAUUCGUAGAUAUUAGGAAGAACACCAGUGGCGAAGGCGGCUCACUGGUCCGGUACUGACGCUGAGGUGCGAAAGCGUGGGGAGCAAACAGG